rnacentral:rRNA from 1 species
UGGGGAAUAUUGGACAAUGGGCGCAAGCCUGGUCCAGCCAUGCCGCGUGAGUGAUGAAGGCCUUAGGGUUGUAAAGCUCUUUUAGCGGGGACGAUAAUGACGGUACCCGCAGAAAAAGCCCCGGCUAACUUCGUGCCAGCAGCCGCGGUAAUACGAAGGGGGCUAGCGUUGCUCGGAAUCACUGGGCGUAAAGCGCACGCAGGUGGGUUCUUAAGUCAGGGGUGAAAUCCUGGAGCUCAACUCCAGAACUGCCUUUGAUACUGGGAAUCUUCGAGUCCGGGAGAGGUGGGUGGAACUGCGAGUGUAGAGGUGAAAUUCGUAGAUAUUCGCAAGAACACCAGUGGCGAAGGCGGCUCACUGGCCCGGUACUGACACUCAGGUGCGACAGCGUGGGGAGCAA